rnacentral:rRNA from 1 species
GUUGUGGAUGAACGGACGAAGCUUCUAGUUUAGGAAUUGGCGCUGAUACAUAUGGUUCAGGCAUGGACUCUGUUUGUCCAUAAGAGAGUUGUUCUUCGGAAUGACAAACCUCUCAUCGGGUAUGGUCCUAUGUUAAUCCAGGAGCAGGACAGGAUAGCGAAUCUGAAGUACAUCUACAACUGCAACAACACAGAGACUUUGUGGAUGCUUCGAAUGAAAAGAACAUAUUUCACCAAACUUGUGCAAACGUUCAGGAGCAGGGGGUUGCUAGAAGAUAGUAUCUGCACAAAUGUGAAAGAGCAUGCAGUCAUGUUCCUACAUGUUGUUGGUCAUAACCAGAGGUUCAGGGUUGUACACAACACCUUCAGAAGAUCAAUGGCGACCAUCUCCAGGUACUUCAAGCAAGUGCUUUAUGCUGUUGGGGGGCUCAGAGGAGAGAUGAUCAUGUCGCCAACCGGCCGGACUCCUACCAAGAUUCGCACUAGCCCAAGAUGGUAUCCAUACUUCAGAGUGAGCACCGACAGUAUGUAG